GGGUUGUGAGGUUAAGCGACUAAGCGUACACGGUGGAUGCCCUGGCAGUCAGAGGCGAUGAAGGACGUGCUAAUCUGCGAUAAGCGUCGGUAAGGUGAUAUGAACCGUUAUAACCGGCGAUUUCCGAAUGGGGAAACCCAGUGUGAUUCGUCACACUAUCAUUAACUGAAUCCAUAGGUUAAUGAGGCGAACCGGGGGAACUGAAACAUCUAAGUACCCCGAGGAAAAGAAAUCAACCGAGAUUCCCCCAGUAGCGGCGAGCGAACGGGGAGCAGCCCAGAGCCUGAAUCAGUGUGUGUGUUAGUGGAAGCGUCUGGAAAGGCGCGCGAUACAGGGUGACAGCCCCGUACACAAAAAUGCACAUGCUGUGAGCUCGAUGAGUAGGGCGGGACACGUGGUAUCCUGUCUGAAUAUGGGGGGACCAUCCUCCAAGGCUAAAUACUCCUGACUGACCGAUAGUGAACCAGUACCGUGAGGGAAAGGCGAAAAGAACCCCGGCGAGGGGAGUGAAAAAGAACCUGAAACCGUGUACGUACAAGCAGUGGGAGCACGCUUAGGCGUGUGACUGCGUACCUUUUGUAUAAUGGGUCAGCGACUUAUAUUCUGUAGCAAGGUUAACCGAAUAGGGGAGCCGAAGGGAAACCGAGUCUUAACUGGGCGUUAAGUUGCAGGGUAUAGACCCGAAACCCGGUGAUCUAGCCAUGGGCAGGUUGAAGGUUGGGUAACACUAACUGGAGGACCGAACCGACUAAUGUUGAAAAAUUAGCGGAUGACUUGUGGCUGGGGGUGAAAGGCCAAUCAAACCGGGAGAUAGCUGGUUCUCCCCGAAAGCUAUUUAGGUAGCGCCUCGUGAAUUCAUCUCCGGGGGUAGAGCACUGUUUCGGCAAGGGGGUCAUCCCGACUUACCAACCCGAUGCAAACUGCGAAUACCGGAGAAUGUUAUCACGGGAGACACACGGCGGGUGCUAACGUCCGUCGUGAAGAGGGAAACAACCCAGACCGCCAGCUAAGGUCCCAAAGUCAUGGUUAAGUGGGAAACGAUGUGGGAAGGCCCAGACAGCCAGGAUGUUGGCUUAGAAGCAGCCAUCAUUUAAAGAAAGCGUAAUAGCUCACUGGUCGAGUCGGCCUGCGCGGAAGAUGUAACGGGGCUAAACCAUGCACCGAAGCUGCGGCAGCGACGCUKAUGCGUUGUUGGGUAGGGGAGCGUUCUGUAAGCCUGCGAAGGUGUGCUGUGAGGCAUGCUGGAGGUAUCAGAAGUGCGAAUGCUGACAUAAGUAACGAUAAAGCGGGUGAAAAGCCCGCUCGCCGGAAGACCAAGGGUUCCUGUCCAACGUUAAUCGGGGCAGGGUGAGUCGACCCCUAAGGCGAGGCCGAAAGGCGUAGUCGAUGGGAAACAGGUUAAUAUUCCUGUACUUGGUGUUACUGCGAAGGGGGGACGGAGAAGGCUAUGUUGGCCGGGCGACGGUUGUCCCGGUUUAAGCGUGUAGGCUGGUUUUCCAGGCAAAUCCGGAAAAUCAAGGCUGAGGCGUGAUGACGAGGCACUACGGUGCUGAAGCAACAAAUGCCCUGCUUCCAGGAAAAGCCUCUAAGCAUCAGGUAACAUCAAAUCGUACCCCAAACCGACACAGGUGGUCAGGUAGAGAAUACCAAGGCGCUUGAGAGAACUCGGGUGAAGGAACUAGGCAAAAUGGUGCCGUAACUUCGGGAGAAGGCACGCUGAUAUGUAGGUGAAGUCCCUCGCGGAUGGAGCUGAAAUCAGUCGAAGAUACCAGCUGGCUGCAACUGUUUAUUAAAAACACAGCACUGUGCAAACACGAAAGUGGACGUAUACGGUGUGACGCCUGCCCGGUGCCGGAAGGUUAAUUGAUGGGGUUAGCGCAAGCGAAGCUCUUGAUCGAAGCCCCGGUAAACGGCGGCCGUAACUAUAACGGUCCUAAGGUAGCGAAAUUCCUUGUCGGGUAAGUUCCGACCUGCACGAAUGGCGUAAUGAUGGCCAGGCUGUCUCCACCCGAGACUCAGUGAAAUUGAACUCGCUGUGAAGAUGCAGUGUACCCGCGGCAAGACGGAAAGACCCCGUGAACCUUUACUAUAGCUUGACACUGAACAUUGAGCCUUGAUGUGUA
rnacentral:rRNA from 1 species